CUUCUGUAAUUUUGUUUUUCCUCUGAUUAAAAUGUGAGGAGAUGUGGGCUUUCUGAUUAUUUUGGGCCAAACUUUUAAUUCCAAAGCCCGAUAAUGUUUAGGGUUGGUCUUCAGUUUUCACGUUAUCGACGUAGUCGUCUCCUUCCUCUUCCUCUUCCUCUUCCUCUCCACUGAGUUCUGUAACGUUUGUUUCAAUACUAUUCAAUUCGAUCUUCAAUUCUAGGGUUUUGGGGGCAAUGGGAUUUACACAGUCGAUAAUUCUUGCUUAUCUGCAAACCAGCCGCGAGCCCUUCGAAAAUGGCGUCUUCCUAUGUUCUUCUCGGCAACCUGAGAGCAGGCCGUUGCUCAAACACAGCGGAGGUGCUCAAUAAGAAUACUAGAUAUACUCUUAAACCAGUCCGAUAUUGUAGAGGAUGGCUAUGAUCUUUUCCUGAUCGACAGCUUGCUAUUAUAUUCUCUGCUCCUAACUACUGUGGUGACUUCGACAGUGCUGUGAGAUCAUAAGUGUUGAUGAAAGUUUAAUGUACUUUUUCCAAAUUCUUAAGCAUAUGGAUCAGAGGCCCUGGUUCUUAUGAUGAAUAAAGUUUGCUGUUUGAUCCUCUCGGAAAAAAGCCGAGAUUGGCAACAUGAAUCCGGGGAAGAGACAUUUGAUGCUAUUUUAGACUUUGUCCUGAGGCCUUGCAAGGAGGCUUAAAAUGCAUGGUACAUGUUAUAUCAUAUCUUCAUGAACACUCGCCAUUUCUUUUCUCAAAACUGUAUGUUCUUAUGAGCUUCUCUGACUCAUAUUGCACAUUCAAAGUAUGUUCUUCCGUCAACUGAAUUACUCAGUUAUAUACAACCUCUAUUAUGUA